rnacentral:rRNA from 1 species
CCUACGGGCGGCAGCAGUGGGGAAUAUUGGGCAAUGGGCGCAAGCCUGACCCAGCAACGCCGCGUGAAGGAUGAAGGCCUUCGGGUUGUAAAGUUCUUUUCUAAGGGACGAAGAAAGUGACGGUACCUUAGGAAUAAGCCUCGGCUAACUACGUGCCAGCAGCCGCGGUAAUACGUAGGUGGCAAGCGUUAUCCGGAUUUACUGGGUGUAAAGGGUGCGUAGGUGGGUUGGCAAGUUAGUAGUGAAAAUCCGGGGCUCAACCUCGGAACUGCAACUAAAACUGUUUGUCUUGAGUACAGGAGAGGCAAUCGGAAUUCCUAGUGUAGCGGUGGAAUGCGUAGAUAUUAGGAGGAACACCAGUUGCGAAGGCGGAUUGCUAGACUGCAACUGACACUGAGGCACGAAAGCGUGGGGAGCAAACAGGAUUAGAUACCCGAGUAGUC